UUCUGCAGUGCCACCCAGUAAAGUAACUGUAAUAUAUCCCUCCAUCCAAUUAAUGUUGGGCUUGCUAUGUGACUUGCUGGAGCCAGUGGAAGGUUAGUGGCCAUGCUUAUAUGGCUUGGCUUGACCUCUUACCCUAGCAAGAAAAGAGUACAACCCAGGGAGCUACUGAUUUUUUACCCUAGAUCUUGGAAUCAAUUCAUGUGGAGCAUACCUAAACCCAACCAGAAGUCUAGAGUGAGUCAACAGAUCUAUCAAAUUGCUAGAAAAGUUAUUUUCUUCCAAUUUCUGUUGGGAAUAAACACGCCAAUUUCUGUUCUUAUCACAGACAAGUAAUGAGCAGUUAUAGACUGGCACUAGUCCAUCAACCCUUUAGGAGCACCAUCCGGCAGGAAGAACAUUGUCUAGGAACUCCAGCUAGGGCUGCAAAGCCAAGAACAAAGGGUGACUGGGACCUCUCAUUCUGUAAGAGAUGCUACCAUCCCACACAGGACUUAAUAAAGAGAGUCAGAAGGUUCCAAGACAAGCCCCCUUCCCAACUACAGGUCCUAAACCACAGGUGACUUCUGAGCUGGGAGCAAAGAGAAGCCCUGAAUCAGAUGGGAAAUUGACGCUUUGAUUUGGACCUGGACUUUUUAAUUCCCUAAAGUAGGGCUAUGGUUAAUACCUAAAAGUAAUUGAAUAAUAAUGUAUCAACAUUGCUUCAUUAAUUUUAAUUAAUGUAUCAUACUAAGGUAGGAUGUUGAUAAUCUCAGAAAACUGGGACUGUGGAAACUGUCUGUAGUAUCUUCUCCAUUUUUCUCUAAAAGUGUUCUAAGAAAUAAAGUCAAGAUAAAAACAUUUUUUAAAGUGAUUGAAAACCUCUGAGAUCUGCCUGAGAUGCCUUGAAGGGCUGAAGGAGGGAGAGCCAACAGAACAUGUUUGAAGGCAGUGGAGGGAGAAAAGUAAAGCUGUUUCUUGUUUGUACCCUAAAAGGCCAGUACAUUCAAUAACAGGUGAUAUUAGAGACACUUACAGAUGGAAUGAUUUUGAGAGUAUGACAAAAUUCUGAUAUUUUCUCCUAAACCAAAUGUCGUAAAAUGUGUUGACCUCUCUCCCAUAUCAAGCACCAUGAUACAGAGAUGACUAUGGCACGGGAUGGGAUUCCCUUUGGGUUUUGCUGCCCCAGCACACAUUUCUCCUGUUUCUUGGAUCCGCUCCUUCAUGUUCCUUUAGGAAAAUAUCCCUCCCUGACUCACACAAUCCAGGUGACCCAGGUAGAACUGAUUCCAAUCUCCUCCACACCCUUAAUCAAAGGUGGGACAUGACUCAGGUCUGGCCAAUCCUUCAGGUCAUAGAUUUCCAUUCCGGAAUGCACAGACAAUCCAAAUUUGUCCAGUGAGUCAUAAUCCCCAGAUUUAAGAGAAGCAGCUGGCUUUCCACUGCCAGGCCCACCCAAUACAGAGAACUCCCUGGGAAUAAAACUGAUGUGAAGAAAAAAGGAAAGUAAGCCCUAAAUCCUGAUGACAUCAUUUGAGCAGCUAGAUCCAGCCCUAUCUCACACUAAGUAUCCCUAGAACCUUUCAAUUAUGUAACACAAUAGUUUCUUUUUUCACUUAAAGUCAACUCAAGAUGGCUUUCUAUUCCUUGCAGGGAUAAGAUUCCUGAUAAAUUCUGCGCAAGUUCCACCCCUGAGCUAAUCUAAUGUGGGAGACAAACACAGAAAGGAACAUAACCAAGAUGCCAGCUGGGCCCUCCUGACCCAGGGAGAUGCAGGUGCCUGGCACAGACAUCUUCAUUCCAAGAGCACAAAGCCCUUCCCAUGACUUCUUAUUCCCAGAGAUGUGCAGCUUCCUGGGCCCAUUGGAUCUGCACCUGGGUCUGAGACUCCUCUCUUUGUUUUUACUCUACAUCUACUCAAAAGCAGAACCUGAACUUUGUCAACUUCACCAUAUAGUUGAAAGCAUCCAUGAGCGAUGCGGACUUUCCUGAAUGACAGAUAAGGGAGGCACAGUGCACCUCCUACAGUGAUCAGCCCAAAACCUCCAUCUCAGGCAUUCCUUGUGCUCCCUAAGUGCCUUCUCAGCUGCCCUUCUGAUGAAGGGAAGGAAGAACACUUUCGACUGGCUCCUCUAUCCCCAGAAGAGAAGAGUCACCCCAAGUGCCUUUCCUGCUCCCCAACUCUACUCCUAGAUCUUUAACUCCUCUACCUCCAUUAUGCACAGUGGCUCAACUCUGGCUCUCACCCCAAAGUUGUUUACAUACAAAUACACCAAGGUGCUUGGCAGAACAAAGCCUUACCUGUUAACUUAAUCCACUCUCUUUAGAAGCAAAUUGGGUAAAUAGAAAAACAAAAUCUUACUAAAUGAAAAAAAGAUUAUAACACUGUGCAGUAAAUACUGCAGUAGAGAAAGCUAUACAGGGAGUAUGGAAGGGAUUGGGGGGGGCGGGGAUUUGUGAACUCUGCCCAAGGCGACUUUAGGAAGGCUUCCCCGUGGAGGUGACACAUGAGCUGAUUGCAAAGCAUGGGGAAGUUUUUGACAGGUAGAGAAUAGAGGAAGGUCAUGACCAGCAUAAGGAAGAGCAUAUACUAAAAUGCAGAGACCGGAGGGGUCCUAGUCAAUGGGGGGAGCAGCUUGUGGAGAGUAUGGAGGACAAAUGGUAAGGAAGGAGGGGCUGAGGAAGUGAGUCAGGUGAGGUUGGCAGGAACCCAGUCAUUGAGGGUCUUGAUGCCAGUGAGCAGAUGGACUCCAUCCAGCAGGUGAAAGGAAGCCAUUAACAGAUUUUAGCAGGACAGUGACAUAGCCAGAUUUUGUUUAGAAAGGACAGGCCAGUUUGGAGGAGGUCACCAGUUUGGAGGAGAAAUUGGAAGGCUGAUGGAAAAGGGUAGAAUUGAGGGAAGAGGAGGUCAGGAAGCUGUUGCAAUGAUUCAGGCUGAAAAUGAUGGUGCUCUAAUGGGAUUGAGAGGGGAUGGAUGCACAUUGCAGAGCUUGGUGGCCACUUUAAUGUGGAAGGAAACAGGGAGGGAGGAACAAUUAUGUUUUCCUUUGGAGUGUGAACUGCUUGAUAAUGGGUCUAUGACUGUUCUGUGAAUUCUCAGCACAGGAUCUCACUCAGGGUUAGUGCUCAUUGCUGCACACCUGUAUAAACAAAUAAGAGCUGAUUAAUGAAUGAGUGUGCCAGGAAGGCUGUGUAGCCUACUCAGAGGUGAAGAGGGAAGUGGGGAUCACAGCCAGACAUCCUUUUCUAAGAAGAAAAGUGAAACUGUACGCUAGAAAAUAGGUCACAAGAUGAGCAACCUGAGAAUGGGAUGCAAGGAAGCCCAAGAACAGAUCAGGGCAGGGCAGGAAGUUCAGGGCUCGGCUGGUGAAUGAUUCUCAGAGAUCUACUUUCCAGUGGCAAAAAAAGGCCUUGAAGAACCAAGCAGGAGAGAAACUUCAGGAAAUAUGCCCUUUGUACCAUGUAUGAGGAAGUUAAUGCCGUCUAACAAAUCUCCCCGAAACUCAGUGGCUUUACAACAUCAGGCAUUUUUUCUCAUGCUCAUGGAUCUGCAGGUCACUGUGGCUUGGCAGAUCAAGGAUGGACUCGGCUGGACUUGGCAGGGCAGCUUUGCUUCAGCCUGCACAUUGGCUGAGCAUGGCUGAGCUUGGCUGGGCUUGGCUUCAACUAUAGGUUUGCCUCAGGGCCACUCCACAUGUCUCUCAACCCCCUUGGACUAGAG
ensembl:lncRNA